UACGUAGGGACCAAGCGUUGUCCGGAAUCAUUGGGCGUAAAGAGCGUGUAGGCGGCCAUGCAGGUCCGUUGUGAAAACUGGAGGCUUAACCUCCAGACGUCGAUGGAAACCGUAUGGCUAGAGUCCGGAAGAGGAGAGUGGAAUUCCUGGUGUAGCGGUGAAAUGCGCAGAUAUCAGGAGGAACACCAAUUGCGAAGGCAGCUCGCUGGGACGUUACUGACGCUGAGACGCGAAAGCGUGGGGAGCAAACAGG
rnacentral:rRNA from 1 species